rnacentral:rRNA from 1 species
AUUGAACGCUGGCGGCAGGCCUAACACAUGCAAGUCGAGCGAGCGGCGGACGGGUGAGUAAUGUAUGGGCAUCUGCCUGAUGGAGGGGGAUAACUACUGGAAACGGUUGCUAAUACCGCAUACCAUCAGAUGCGCCCAGAUGGGAUUAGCUAGUAGGUGGGGUAAUGGCUCACCUAGGCGACGAUCCCUAGCUGGUCUGAGAGGAUGACCAGCAACACUGGAACGGAGACACGGUCCAGACUCCUACGGGAGGCAGCAGUGGGGAAUAUUGCACAAUGGGCGCAAGCCUGAUGCAGCCAUGCCGCGUGUGUGAAGAAGGCCUUCGGGUUGUAAAGCACUUUCAGCGGGGAGGCGUUACUCGCAGAAGAAGCACCGGCUAACUCCGUGCCAGCAGCCGCGGUAAUUC